UCAACGGGGAGGAAAAAAAACACUCUUCUUUAGUCUCUCUUGUGCAUUUAAAACGUGGGGGAGCCGGUGUCAGAGGGAGAUUUCCAGCAGACGUCCGGUGCUAGCCAGCUAGCAGCACUCAAAUCGCUCGCGAAUCAACAAGUUGAAUCCCACAUCAGCGGCUAGCCGAGCUGGCCAGCUAGCUAGGAACUAGCUAGCAGCAACCGCACGUCCCAUGUUUGUCAACAAGCGCUAAACGCCGAAAGGCUAAUAUUUCCUUAAUCCUGGGCCUGGGUGGGAGAGCAUUCACUUCCCGGGUCUACUUUAACAGUGAGCAGCGGCUGCCGGCGAGCUAACGGCGCGACGGUGCGACGUCCUGGCCGCUUAGCUCCCGGGGCUAGCUCCCAGAAAAAGUUGGGCAACGGCUGCACUGAAACGCGACUAGGUUCGGUUAGGUGGCUAGCACGCUAACCCGUGGGGUGGCUAAGCGGCGUUCGAGGAAGCCCCGACGGCCGUCGAGGUCGACAACAAGUGUUUGUCCAGCGUCGUUUUCGUGCGACGCAGCGUCGCCACUUCGCCUCCUGCUCGGUGGAAGAGCGGCUUCCCUUCAGGGCUCGAACCAGGUGCACAAACUUUCAGGCCAAACUUAUUCCCGGCGAGGUCUCGACCUUCCCAGCGGACGCGACACGAUUCUAAAUGUUCCCAGCGACGUAUCCAGGGAAUGGUAUCCGACGGCUAAAGCAGCGCGGUGUAAAAUGCCGCCACGGCAGCGUCAGGACGUUAAAAGAAACACCGGGGGAUGAAGAGGGUACGAGGGGAUUGUUAGUAGCGACUGGGAGAGCGUCCAGCUGGAAGGAUGUCCUCGUGAGUCAAGGGGGAAACAGUCACGUGUCAGAAGGGAGGAGGGAGUACAGUCACAGGUAUGUGCACAGAGGACCACACGUCUGUUUCCAUACAAUCAGUGGCCUAUUUACAGUCACUGUGCAUUUAAAGCCACUGUACAAUUGCAAGAUUUACAACGAGGGAUGUGUGGGGAUUUGUGUAGUGGGGGAACGUGCUCAAGCGUCGCCAUCUGCAGGAUGCCUGAAUACAAUGCAUCUGUCCGGCUGUCCGUCUGUCCCGGCUCAGAGGAACUCAUUUUUGGCUGCCGUGCUCCUGUUUUGCUUUGAAAGGAAAAAUGACACACCAAGUAGGAGUUUGAACUGCAGACUGUUAAUUGCAGCGGAUUCGAUGGUAUUUUAGGUCUCAUUGGAUGAACAUUAAAAAACACACUGGCCAUUUUAUCUCCAUGGUCUCAUUUCAUGCUGCCAAAUGUUUCUGGCCAGACUGAGCCUGUAAUAACAGCUAUUUCUAAUAUGGGCGCCAAUGAUAUCUCUGUAAAGUCUGGUAAACGCCACACUGAUAUGUCACAGUAUACAGUUCUACAAGUGUUCACAUCUGUCUUACUGUUGGCAGUAAGAAAAUAUUGAUUUCUGUGGCUUUCGUCUAAAAGACCGGCAGAAUGUUCUUUCUAAAUGCAGGGGAACAUGAAUGACCCAGUUCCUACCACUGAUUCCACAUGAACAGUGCUGAACCUGAUGCGGGGGGCAUCAAAGGUAGUCCAGGAAAUACACAUUAAAAUAACAACUGACUGAUCCAUGGGUGCAAGUGUACUUGAAAUUUCAAACCAAGGUCAAAAACAAGUUUGUAUAAACUGGGCUACAGUCACACAACGUGCUAUGUAAUGCACUUUAAUUGAAGGGUUGAACUGAUUAAUUUAACCAUGUUGCUGGUUAAUUCUUAGUUUGUUAAUUUUGUUGCAUUUGUUAUGGUUUGUAGUUUAAAUAAUUAGACAUGAGUCCACAAGUUGCAAAAGCAAAGAAGGAAAUGGGUGUGUGUCAUUUACACAUUUGAGGAAGCUGAGCUUUGCUGCGUCAACAAGAGGAAAUGCCGACAGACGUACACCAUGUUGGUAAAAAAAGAAUACGCCUCUCUUUUAUAGGUCUCUUCCAUGAAUGUCUUUGGUUUUCCAGCUUUAGAGAAGUGAAGGAGGUCAGUAGGUCAUAGACACAAACUGCCCACAGCACAGUUCUUGUUACAUCAUCCCUGUACUGAGCUGUGGCAUUCUGUUUCUUCUCAAUGUGCAGAGAGGAAGGGUGGGUUCAGUGUCAGCAAAUGGUAAACUACCGUAGGUCAUUUUUACUUGCUGCUGUAAGACUUUACAACCUAAGCUGCUCCCAGUGAAUCACUGACAAUUGUAACUGUUUCUACAACUGUAACUAAUGCCAUCUUAUACUGUAGUCACCAUCCAAACUUCCAAAUGUUUGGGCAGUCUUUUUUUUUUAAUCCUGUGCAAUAUUCAGUCAAUCCAUGGUGGAAAUACCCAUCACCUCAGUAUGCAUGUGUGUAUAUAUAUGAUACAUCUUUAUUUUACUUUAAAUUGUAGAUAAUUUUGAUCCUGCUCUUGUUUUAUACUGCUGCUGCAACGUGGAAAUUUCCCCACUGUGGGACGAAUAAAGGACUAUCUUAUCUUAAACUGAAGCA
ensembl:lncRNA